CACCGCCUGGGGAGUACGACCGCAAGGUUAAAACUCAAAUGAAUUGACGGGGACCCGCACAAGUAGUGGAGCAUGUGGUUUAAUUCGAAGAUACGCGCAGAACCUUACCAACACUUGACAUGUUCGUCGCGACUCUAAGAGAUUAAAGUUUUCGGUUCGGCCGGACGAAACACAGGUGCUGCAUGGCUGUCGUCAGCUCGUGUCGUGAGAUGUUGGGUUAAGUCCCGCAACGAGCGCAACCCUCACUUUUAGUUGCCAUCAUUAAGUUGGGCACUCUGAAAGAACUGCCAGUGAUAAGCUGGAGGAAGGUGGGGAUGACGUCAAGUCCUCAUGGCCCUUACGUGUUGGGCUACACACGUGCUACAAUGGUAUCUACAACAGGAAGCAAGACUGCGAAGUUAAGCAAAUCCUUAAAAGAUACCUCAGUUCGGAUUGCACUCUGCAACUCGAGUGCAUGAAGCUGGAAUUACUAGUAAUCGUGGAUCAGCGUGCCACGGUGAAUGCGUUCCCGGGUCUUGUACACACCGCCCGUCACACCAUGGGAGUUGGUUCUACCUUAAGGCAAGGUUUAAAACCCUUGACCACGGUAUAGUCAGCGACUGGGGUGAAGUCGUAACAAGGUAGCCGUAGGGGAACCUGCGGCUGGAUUACCUCCUUUCUAAGGAUGAAUGAAAGUAAAAUUUUAUUCUAAAUAAUAUACAUCGGUAAUGUUGACCGUCCUCAUUUCUCUUCUUGAAAUAGUGUUUCUCUUGCAUGGGGGCCGGUAGCUCAGUUGGUUAGAGCACACCCUUGAUAAGGGUGGGGUCGAAAGUUCGAGUCUUUCUCGGCCCACCAAAUUAAGAUUAAGGGGGGAUUAGCUCAGCUGGGAGAGCGCCUGAUUUGCAUUCAGGAGGUCAGCGGUUCGAUCCCGCUAUCCUCCACCAAAAACACUUAGCUAUUAAAAAUUGUAAAUAAAAAUAAAAAAUUAAUAUCAAUAUCUAUAUCCGAACAUUAGUAAUGUUAUUAACUAAUGUUCAAAUAAAAAUUUGAUUCAACACAGAAUUUUUUUCUG
rnacentral:sRNA from 1 species